rnacentral:rRNA from 1 species
AUUGAACGCUGGCGGCAGGCCUAACACAUGCAAGUCGAGCGGAUGAAGGGAGCUUGCUCCUGGAUUCAGCGGCGGACGGGUGAGUAAUGCCUAGGAAUCUGCCUGGUAGUGGGGGAUAACGUCCGGAAACGGGCGCUAAUACCGCAUACGUCCUAGGGAGAAAGUGGGGGAUCUUCGGACCUCACGCUAUCAGAUGAGCCUAGGUCGGAUUAGCUAGUUGGUGGGGUAAAGGCCUACCAAGGCGACGAUCCGUAACUGGUCUGAGAGGAUGAUCAGUCACACUGGAACUGAGACACGGUCCAGACUCCUACGGGAGGCAGCAGUGGGGAAUAUGGGACAAUGGGCGAAAGCCUGAUCCAGCCAUGCCGCGUGUGUGAAGAAGGUCUGCGGAUUGUAAAGCACUUUAAGUUGGGAGGAAGGGCAGUAAGUUAAUACCUUGCUGUUUUGACGUUACCAACAGAAUAAGCACCGGCUAACUUCGU